rnacentral:rRNA from 1 species
GACGAACGCUGGCGGCGUGCUUAACACAUGCAAGUCGAACGGAAAGGCCCUGCUUUUGUGGGGUGCUCGAGUGGCGAACGGGUGAGUAACACGUGAGUAACCUGCCCUUGACUUUGGGAUAACUUCAGGAAACUGGGGCUAAUACCGGAUAGGAGCUCCUGCUGCAUGGUGGGGGUUGGAAAGUUUCGGCGGUUGGGGAUGGACUCGCGGCUUAUCAGCUUGUUGGUGGGGUAGUGGCUCACCAAGGCUUUGACGGGUAGCCGGCCUGAGAGGGUGACCGGCCACAUUGGGACUGAGAUACGGCCCAGACUCCUACGGGAGGCAGCAGUGGGGAAUAUUGCACAAUGGGCGGAAGCCUGAUGCAGCAACGCCGCGUGCGGGAUGACGGCCUUCGGGUUGUAAACCGCUUUCGCCUGUGACGAAGCGUGAGUGACGGUAAUGGGUAAAGAAGCACCGGCUAACUACAUG